rnacentral:rRNA from 1 species
GGAACCUGCGGAAGGAUCAUU